rnacentral:rRNA from 1 species
UUCGCAAUGCCCGAAAGGGUGACGAAGCGACGCCGCGUGGGUGAGGAAGGCCUUCGGGUUGUAAAGCCCUGUCAGGAGUUAAGAAAUGUAAGUGCGCUAAUAUCGCAUUUAUUUGACGAAGGCUCCAAAGGAAGCCACGGCUAACUCUGUGCCAGCAGCCGCGGUAAUACAGAGGUGGCAAGCGUUGUUCGGAAUUAUUGGGCGUAAAGAGCACGUAGGCGGCCUUGCAAGUCAGUUGUGAAAGCCUUCCGCUCAACGGAAGAAUGCCAGCUGAUACUACAGGGCUUGAGUACGGGAGGGGAGAGUGGAACUUCUGGUGGAGCGGUGAAAUGCGUAGAUAUCAGAAGGAACGCCGGCGGCGAAAGCGACUCUCUGGCCUAUUACUGACACUGAGUGUGCGAAAGUUAGGGGAGCAAACGGGAUUAGAUACCCCGGUAGUCCUAACUGUAAACGAUGGGCACUAAGUAGAGGGGUUUU